rnacentral:rRNA from 1 species
AUGGAGUUCGUCGAUCCUGGUGGGGAUGAUAUGGCAACAGGAUUCACCGAGCUGCUCCACCGUCGUGACUCGCAAAUGGAAGGCAUGCUGGCAUCAAUCGCCGCCAAUCUGGAUUUGGAGCCAAUCUCCAGAUCCGAAGUUGUCAACGGUACCACUUCCGAUCCGUUUGGGGGUGACACGCAAGCGGCCGAGGUACCCAAGUUCGGACAGGACGAGACGAAUCCUUCGUCAUGGCAGUCAGCUGGAGGUUGGAAACGCAGGUUCCAUGCUGAGAUGGACGGCCACACCCACAUAGCCAUGGAGUGGAAGGACCAGAGCCCAAGGCCAGAUUGCAGCAUGCUGCCGAGCUUCCUCACCGACCCGUCCCCGCGGACCCCCUGGUGGAGGAUUGCGCCGGCAACGACGGCUCCGAGGGGGCUGGGUUCGAGAGGCACGGCCUUUCAAUGGCCGUGGGCUCGCCUCAGGAGUAAGGGAAGCCGAUGUCGGCGACGCCACACUUCGGCCAGAGGUCCAGUUCCAGGAGCAGCCUCUCCGAGCGGAUGCAGGCCAGAGCUGGGUUCAGCGUCGCCAAGCUCAACAUGCGUGACAGCGAAUAUUCAGGAGCCCAGUCGCCUUACCUGGCCAUCCAGCCCGGCCUCAUCCCUGCGUCGCUGGUGGAAUCGCCUGUGUUCCACUCUAAUGCCAUGGGCAGAGGCCUCGCCAACAUCGGGGAAGUUACUCAUGCUUGGUGACACCAAUAACAACAAUAAUACUAGGCUUGAACCUCCCUCAAUUGAAGAUGGUCCCGGUGCAUUUUCUUUCAAGCCUUUGGACAUAAAAUCAUCACAGUACAGCGCUGAAGGGAAGAAGGGAUCUCUACCCAACAGUCAGCACCCAUUAGCACCAAGCAGAGAUGUUCCUGUCAAGACAAACCAACACUCAGACGACGACUCGAGGCGCCAGUCCGCAGUUCAACAACCGUCUCGCAGCUGA